rnacentral:rRNA from 1 species
UACGUAGGCAGCGAGCGUUGUUCGGAGUUACUGGGCGUAAAGGGUGUGUAGGCGGUUCUUUUAAGUUUGGUGUGAAAUCUCCCGGCUCAACCGGGAGGGUGCGCCGAAUACUGAGGGACUUGGAGUGCGGGAGAGGAAAGUGGAAUUCCUGGUGUAGCGGUGAAAUGCGUAGAUAUCAGGAGGAACACCGGUGGUGUAGACGGCUUUCUGGACCGUAACUGACGCUGAGACGCGAAAGCGUGGGUAGCAAACAGG